GGUCCCGUAGUACAAUGGAUAGUACGCAAGUCUCCGGAACUUGAUAUUCCAGUUCGAUUCUGGACGGGACUACAA
rnacentral:tRNA from 1 species